rnacentral:rRNA from 1 species
CAGUCGCCGCGGGAACACAGAGGGUGCGAGCGUUAAUCGGAUUUACUGGGCGUAAAGCGUGCGUAGGCGGCUUCUUAAGUCGGAUGUGAAAUCCCUGAGCUUAACUUAGGAAUUGCAUUCGAUACUGGGAAGCUAGAGUAUGGGAGAGGAUGGUAGAAUUCCAGGUGUAGCGGUGAAAUGCGUAGAGAUCUGGAGGAAUACCGAUGGCGAAGGCAGCCAUCUGGCCUAAUACUGACGCUGAGGCACGAAAGCGUGGGGAGCAAACAGGAUUAGAUACCCCCGUAGUCCCUGUCUCUUAUAC